rnacentral:rRNA from 1 species
GAUGAACGCUGGCGGCGUGCCUAAUACAUGCAAGUCGAGCGAACGGACGAGAAGCUUGCUUCUCUGAUGUUAGCGGCGGACGGGUGAGUAACACGUGGAUAACCUACCUAUAAGACUGGGAUAACUUCGGGAAACCGGAGCUAAUACCGGAUAAUAUUUUGAACCGCAUGGUUCAAAAGUGAAAGACGGUCUUGCUGUCACUUAUAGAUGGAUCCGCGCUGCUUUAGCUAGUUGGUAAGGUAACGGCUUACCAAGGCAACGAUGCAUAGCCGACCUGAGAGAGUGAUCGGCCACACUGGAACUGAGACAAGGUCCAGACUCCUACGGGAGGCAGCAGUAGGGAAUCUUCCGCAAUGGGCGAAAGCCUGACGGAGCAACGCCGCGUGAGUGAUGAAGGUCUUCGGAUCGUAAAACUCUGUUAUUAGGGAAGAACAUAUGUGUAAGUAACUGUGCACAUCUUGACGGUACCUAAUCAGAAAGCCACGGCUAACUACGUG